rnacentral:rRNA from 1 species
GCUCAGAAUGAACGCUGGCGGCGUGCUUAACACAUGCAAGUCGAACGGUAACAGAUAGUAGCUUGCUACUAUGCUGACGAGUGGCGCACGGGUGAGUAAUAUAUAGAUAAUGUGCCUCUUAGUCUGGGAUAGCCAUUGGAAACGAUGAUUAAUACUGGAUACUCCUUCUAAACUCAAGUUUAGUUGGGAAAGUUUUUCGCUAAGAGAUCGGUCUAUAUCCCAUCAGCUUGUUGGUAGUGUAAGAGACUACCAAGGCAAUGACGGGUAGCGGGUUUGAGAGGAUGAUCCGCCACACUGGUACUGAGACACGGACCAGACUCCUACGGGAGGCAGCAGUGAGGAAUAUUGCACAAUGGGGGAAACCCUGAUGCAGCAACGCCGCGUGGAGGAUGACGCAUUUCGGUGUGUAAACUCCUUUUAUAUGUCAAGAAAAUGACGGUAGCAUAUGAAUAAGCACCGGCUAACUCCGUGCCAGCAGCCGCGGUAAUACGGAGGGUGCAAGCGUUAUUCGGAAUCACUGGGCGUAAAGGACGCGUAGGCGGGUUGGAAAGUCAGAUGUGAAAUCCUACAGCUUAACUGUAGAACUGCAUUUGAAACUUCUAAUCUAGAGUAUGGGAGGGGGAGAUGGAAUUAGUGGUGUAGGGGUAAAAUCCGUAGAUAUCACUAGGAAUACCGAAAGCGAAGGCG